rnacentral:rRNA from 1 species
UACGUAGGGUCCGAGCGUUGUCCGGAAUUACUGGGCGUAAAGAGCUCGUAGGUGGUUUGUCGCGUUGUUCGUGAAAACUCACAGCUCAACUGUGGGCGUGCGGGCGAUACGGGCAGACUAGAGUACUGCAGGGGAGACUGGAAUUCCUGGUGUAGCGGUGGAAUGCGCAGAUAUCAGGAGGAACACCGGUGGCGAAGGCGGGUCUCUGGGCAUUACCUGACGCUGAGACGCGAAAGCGUGGGGAGCGAACAGG